UUCCUGUUUUUCCUUAUCUGAUCAUCAACAUCCUGUGCACAAAACUGUCCCUGCUGCUGCAAGUGCCUCUCAUCUAAAGUCACCUCUCACCAGCAAAAUCAUCAUAAAAUCAUUAUAACGGCUUAUUCUACUAAAAGGAUCAAAGAAAAACAACCACUUUAAUCACUAAGUGUAAGCACCUAGUUAAUUGCUUCUAGAUAAACUUCAUCAUAGCUAAAAACUGAACUCUAACAGUAUUUUGAACUCCCAUUUUCUGGGUAAUAACCUGUUUGAAUAUAUCAUUUUAUUUCAUUUUGCUGCUUUUAAUGUAAUGCCUCCCUCUAACUUAAACUUUAUCAGACUUAACCAACAUAUAUAAGCUUUCUCCCUUUGCUUCUGUUUUCUGUAUUUCUGUAUUCUGUAACUGCUUUUUAUAUAAGAGGACUAAGUUAGAGCUGCAUCUGUUAUCUCAAUAUUUUAUAUGUCACUCAGUUUAGUUACAAGCAAAACUCCUAUUCAGUUCCUCUUUCUGUCAUUUGUUAUUGGGCCAACUCAAAUUCAGUUAAAAGCUAAAGGAAUUUCAGGCCCUAGGCCUCAAAUCAAUACUGUCCUGUGUGUUGAUGAACUCUGUAUGUCUGUAAGCGUGUGCAAUCCUUCAAAACUCAGGUCAUUCUCACAGUAGAUUGGCUAAUCAUAACGUUAACCAAAAGUUUAUGACCCUCAAGAGACGACUCUCUGAGCCACAACUCCGUUAAAGGCCCCAAAAUGCAAUGUGUAUGAAAAAUCAUUUCUACAUAUAUAAUCUCCAAUAUUAUUCAUUUGAGUCAGCGAGACUUUUAACAUCCUCAUAAAAAGCUCUCCACUACCCUAAAAAUAACAACAUUCUAACAUUAUGUCACUGUUACCACUUAUCCUAAAAAUCAAAAAGAAAAAUCCCACAUUUUCUACUCAUAAAAUGUUCACUAUUUUCCCCAAAGCAUAUCCUUUAUUCCCACAAUUUCCCCUUUAAUUUGGUGUACAACUUCUUUUUAACCCCAGCAAUUUAUCUUCUAAACAGAAUUCAGUUCAUUUUACUCCUUUCUUUAGAAUUAACAAUCUCUGCCUCAGUUUUACCAUAUCUAAAUUAUCAAACAACCCCAAUCGUUAUAAAAUCCUAGUAAAACCCUUUCACAUUAAACAAAUUAAAUCUUAAACCCCUCUCUUUUUGACACAUCUCAUGUGGCAAAAACUCAACAUGCUCCACCCAAGCUUAACAAAUUAAAAGGAAAAAAGGUUAGUCAUUUCAUUGCCCAGAACCGCUCAGCAAUUCUCCUCUCCGGUGUUUUGCUUCAGCCCUGAAAACCUGUGUUUAAGGAACAAAAUCAAUUUAAUCAUCAUGUCAAAUCUCCUCCAACUCGUUGCUCCAUGCAAGGUCUGGAUCCUUGGAAUUUCCUGAAAACAAAACCUGUAGUUUACAUUUCAUACUCAACUCUCCCCUUAUGAUCCCGUCUAUGUCAUAACAAAAAAUAAACUUGAACAGAACAGUUAUUAAUCCUGAGUUACCUCAGUUAAUGGUAACUUGAAUCUCAUCAAACAAUGUUUCCCUUUUAGCAUUUAGCAUUCUCCCAACAAUAUAAUGUAAUCCCAUAAUCUAACCCCCGUAAAAAGAAAUUUUCUCAAAGCAAACAUCAGCAUCCCAAAAUCAGCCUCCCCAGAUUUAAGUCUCCCACUUGUCCUGCCUAUGGCAAAAGCAAAACAAAGCAUCCCCUUUCUUUUCCUCACAUGAUAAAUCUGUCCACAUUUAUUCAUUCCCACCUUAGUCCAGUCACUCACAUUCACUCACAUGCAUUCACUCAUGAUAUUUUUUUUGCUGAUCUGCAGCCUUCCGCGCACGUCAUCAGAUGCUCCACAUCAGCAAAAUGAGCUCAAUCAUUUGUUUUAUUUCGUUUUCCUGUUUAGGAAAAUAGUUCUCUAUACUUUUGACUGGAUUGAAUCGAUACAAUCCAUUUUUAGACAGAGACUUGCCGCCAAUCAGUCUCUGAUUGUAAUCAAUUAUAAUUCUGUAAAGCCCACCUGAUUUUCGUACUUGGUAAUUUUGUCAGCGCCGUCCGUUCACUCUCUUCCAGGCCUGCUUAGAACAAAAAUGAAAAAAGAGAGCUGAUUAUUAGCUCAUCAAAGUACCAAACAAAAUCACCUGACAGGUUUUUUCCUGAGUGCACUUACUACUACAAAAAAUUUUUGGGGCCCCUCUCAGACCUAUCCCUGCCUUAAUGAAACACCCUCUCUGGAAAUAAAACAACAGCCUCAAAAAUCUGAAACAAUCUUAAAUUUCACCCGUUCAACACACCGAAAACCUCGUCAAAAGAUCAAAGACCGUUUUCAUUCAGCACAAGAUAAAAACCAAUUUCAACCACAUAUCAUCCUUAAAUUAUAAAUUUCCUGUCCAAAUCUGCCCCUCUGAACAGACCUGACCACCGUAAUCAAAUAUCCUGAUACUUUACCAUUAUAUAUUUCUCCCAAUACUCUUCAACAGCCACUGCUCUCUCUUGAACUGAACCGAAAGCCUCCGCCACACACGCACACAGGAAGUGUCUUUGUCACUCACUCACUCCAGCUAAUUUGCAUAAACCCACAGCUCAACAGCCAACUUAACAAGAGGAAUACAUGUUUAAACUUUAUCACGUUAUUGAAUUAUUUUCAUUUUCUUUCUAUACUAAUCACUUACUUUGAUAAAUCAGUGCAAGAGCACUCCUGAGUCACUCUUAUAGACACUUUUCUUUUGUUUUUUCCAUCUAUUUUAAAUCUUUCCAUCAAUUGUAUUAACCAUUCACACCAUUCUCUCACUCAUACAAGCAGCAAGCAGAUCUUCAUUGCAUAUGCUUAUGUUCUUAGCCAGGUUUUAAAUCAAUACCUGUUCAUUAAGCUUCAAGAGCUUGUCUUUAUAAGGUUAAUGCAUUUUCUGUUUGUGUGUGUAUGGGUAUAUGUUAUUUUGCAUCUAUGGCUUCACAGUCUCCCAGACUUCUUCCCCACUCUCCAGUUAAGCAGUCAGUUUUCUUUUUCCCCCAAUUACUAACCCACAUUUUGAUUUCCCACCUUAAAUAAAGCACUCCUAGUCUUCAGCCAGGAGCUGGGGCUUGCUUUUCAGGUUCCUGGACACAUCAUGCUGUGAACAAUUCAACCAGAAACUUGCCUUAACAUAUCCAUUCAUGUUAACCUGUAAUUUCUUCAGACUCCUGCAUCUGGAGAAUUGGCCUGGGUCUGCUUUACCCCUGAAAAUAACAAACUAAGACAUUUUCAUUAUUAUCACCAGUGGUUAAAUAACCCAUUUCUCUAUCUCUGAUCAGAAACACCAAUUAUGCCAUGCAUGUAAGCGUGUUCUUCCCUGCAUUUUAUGUUAAUUGGGUGUAAACUGCUUCUUCAUUAAAUUAACUCAUUGAGUUCUUCGUUGCCUUGCGAUGUAUUCAUGUUAAUGUACACUACGUGUAAGCUGUUUCUUCAUUGCAUCCGAUAUAUUCAUAUUUAAUUUAUGCAUUUCACCACUGAGCUUUAGACUCAAACUAUCUCACUUCUGAUUCAUUUCAAAAAUAAUCUCACAUGUAACAAUUUGUAUGUGUGUUUUCUAUUCAUUAAGGUAAUGACAAUUAUUUUCGUUCAUUAUUCCUACCUUUUCUAAUGUUUACCUCUUUGUUAUGCUGUAGUGGACAUCCCUAAACAAUUCAUGAGUUCAGGUUUCAAUUUUCAAUCCAAUUAUAUCCUAUAUUCUCGCAGUCAAACUCGUCCAGCUUCAUCUCUCACUGGUCCUCUCUGCACAAUGUCCUGUUCGGGCUUCAAAGCUCCAGCAAACACAGUCUCAACUCAGCUGUUGUCUUCUUCUCUGUUUCUUUACAGUCUUUCUUUCAGAUUUAAUCCCAGCAUGGCAAAAUAUCACUCAAUGUCCAGUGCUCUUCCACAAUUCUUUAUCCCACUGUUCAACUGCCCAGCCUGUAUUUUCACAGUACAUCUUGCAUUACUCUUACAUGCUGCUGCUGGUCGUCAGUCGUCAUCAGUGUUAAUGGAUCAGUGGCACUGUCAUUUGCCUGCUGUAUUCAAG
ensembl:lncRNA